GCGCUACAAAUACUCACUCUUAACUUACCUUCCGCUUUCUCCCCCACAGGAAUUCAUGGAACUUCCUCAAUCUCUUCAGCCCCCUUCUUCUUCUUCUUCUUCUUCUUUUUCUUUUUCUUCUUCUUCUCUCCCUCCCGGUUGCCGUUUUUUCCCCUCCGAUGAACAACUCCUCCGCUUUUACCUCUCCAACAAGGCCUCCGGACACAAUGACUCUAACUUAAUCAAAGACCUCAACCCCUUCGAUUACGAUCCUUUCGAUUUGCCCGACUCCGCUUGUUUCUCUUAUGGUUCCAAAGCAAGAAAGAAGCACUGGUACUACUAUGCGCUUACUGCUUUUAGGGAAAACGGUGGAUGGAUAAGAAUGAAGACCGGGUAUUGGAGAAGGAAGGGGAAAGUGAAGGAAGUGACUGGCCGUCGGGGACUUGUGCUUGGGAUUAAGAGAACUUUUGUUUUUUAUUUAGGCAAUUCGAUCAACAAAUCUCUGAAAACUAAUUGGAUCAUGUACGAGUAUGCCCUAGACCAUCGUUUUAAGAAUGUAUUGAGUUCAAAUGGUUCCAUCAGCCUCUUUGAUGGUCAAAUAAGCCGUAUUUGGGUUUUGGGGGUAAUUGUGGCUUUCUAAGGUCGAAAAAUUGGCUUUGAUCCACAGGCUUCUUUUGUUCUGCAUCGCGUAUUUGUAAGUGGUCGAGGAAAUAGGAUUUCGGGUAAUGGCUUAAGUUCUUAUGGUGAUGGAAGUGUCUCAGCAGUAUUUCAUAAUGGUAAUCAACAAGACGGAAUUCAAGUAAAUAAUUUGGUUGAUGCUGAACCUUGUGAAGGGGAUGCUAUGAAUACAACCAAUGUCAUCUCAACACAUGAAAUGGGACGUGCUGAGAACUCAAAUUGUCUACUUAUCACAGAUCCUGUUUCUGCUCCUGCUGCUACCACUUUGCAAGUUCCAUCAAAAGCUUUCCCUUGUGAGAUGAUGACUUCCUCGCCUGUAACCCCUCCUGGUACAAUGCCUACUCAUGUUAUAGAUAAAGAGCAACUAAUCUCUAUUCUGGAGGGAGAUUUUCUAGAACUAGACGAUCUUUUUGAAUAAUUUUCCUCAUUCAAAAUCAUUACCAUCAGAUCUCAAAGACAUCAGAUGACGACUGUUAAUUUUCAGGCUUAUCCCUGCCUGAUGUUAAAUUCCAUAUGGGGUUCAAAUUCCUCAGGAAUGGAACACUAUCUAGUUACUGAACCAUCUAUUAAGUGUGAAAGAAACUCUCAGUCAUGGAGUUAGCAAAGAUUGGAUAAGGGAGCAAAUUACCAACUAAGUGGAUGUAAAUUUGCAAUGGGCCAAAUGUUUGGCAUUUUUCUCCUGAUGAACGAGGAGGUGUUGGUUUAUUCAACGAAAUUGGGAGCAAGACAUGAAUGUAGGUGUAAUUAAGGCUUUGUUGUGUGUAUCAUGUUGAUGAUCUUCCAUUGACCAUGAAGCUUUGGAAAUCUUUGGUUUUAUCCCUUUCCUGUUUAUGCUAACAUUAUAUAAUUUAUCAAUCAACUCUUUAGAUCUGCAUUUAGCAGGUCAUCCCUUAAAUUCCCCUAAUCUUCCUCCAUGUUAAAUUCCAUAGAGUUCGAUGAAGAUCAACUAUAAAUUCUAUUCUGCAUAUA